rnacentral:rRNA from 1 species
CCGGCACGGGUGAGUAACACGUAUGCAACCUGCCUGCCACAGCCGGAUAAUCGGGAGAAAUUCCGUCUAAUACGGCAUAAUGCAUCGACGGGACAUCCUGUUGGUGCCAAAGGUUGAUUCCGGUGGCGGAUGGGCAUGCGUCGCAUUAGUUAGUUGGCGGUGUAACGGACCACCAAGACGACGAUGCGUAGGGGUUCUGAGAGGAAGGUCCCCCACACUGGUACUGAGACACGGACCAGACUCCUACGGAAGGCAGCAG